GCGCCCAUAGCCGAACUGGAUAAGGCGUCUGACUACGGAUCAGAAGAUUGUGGAUUCGAAUUCUGCUGGGCGCGCCA
rnacentral:tRNA from 1 species